UACGGGGGGGGUAAGCGUUGUUCGGAAUUACUGGGCGUAAAGGGCUCGUAGGCGGCCAACUAAGUCAGACGUGAAAUCCCUCGGCUUAACCGGGGAACUGCCUCUGAUACUGGUUGGCUUGAGAUUGGGAGAGGGAUGCGGAAUUCCAGGUGUAGCGGUGAAAUGCGUAGAUAUCUGGAGGAACACCGGUGGCGAAGGCGGCAUCCUGGACCAACACUGACGCUGAGGAGCGAAAGCCAGGGUAGCGAACGGG
rnacentral:rRNA from 1 species